rnacentral:rRNA from 1 species
UACGGCCAUACUAACUGGAGAGCACCGUUUCUCGUCCGAUCAGCGAAGUUAAGCCAGUUCAGGCCCGAUUAGUACUGAGGUGGGGGACCACUUGGGAAUCCCGGGUGCUGUAU